GGUUGUGUAGUGUAGUGGUUAUCACACUGGAUUUUGAUUAAUCCUCGAAACACUCUACUCACUCUACCGGGUAGAACUGUUCCAGUAACCCCAGUUCGAAUCUGGGCACGACCU